ACGGAGAAGGUGCUGGAACACAGCAAAAGGCCGAAGGCAAUGGGUCGCAGGGACAUGAGAGAAGUCCUAGGCGAUAAGGGCAAAUCCGAGGAAAUUUCAACCGGGGAGGUCGUUCAUGGCAGUUGACCAAAUGGGCGUGUCAAUUGGCCAAUUUGGUGGCAAAUGAAAAUGAGGCCCUUAAACUUGGCAAGGCGCACAUACGCUACACUUUGGUUGACUUGGGCCAUCAACG
rnacentral:misc_RNA from 1 species